UACGUAGGGUGCGAGCGUUAAUCGGAAUUACUGGGCGUAAAGCGUGCGCAGGCGGUUGGUUAAGUCUGAUGUGAAAGCCCGGGCUCAACUUGGGAAUGGCAUUGGAAACUGGCUGGCUAGAGUGUGGCAGAGGGGGGUGGAAUUCCGCGUGUAGCAGUGAAAUGCGUAGAGAUGCGGAGGAACACCGAUGGCGAAGGCAGCCCCCUGGGCUGACACUGACGCUCAGGCACGAAAGCGUGGGGAGCAAACAGG
rnacentral:rRNA from 1 species